rnacentral:rRNA from 1 species
UACGUAGGGAGCGAGCGUUGUCCGGAAUUACUGAGUGUAAAGGGAGCGUAGGCGGGACUGCAAGUUGGGUGUCAAAUCUACCGGCUCAACCGGUAGCCGCACUCAAAACUGCAGUUCUUGAGUGAAGUAGAGGCAGGCGGAAUUCCUAGUGUAGCGGUGAAAUGCGUAGAUAUUAGGAGGAACACCAGUGGCGAAGGCGGCCUGCUGGGCUUUUACUGACGCUGAGGCUCGAAAGUGUGGGGAGCAAACAGG